rnacentral:rRNA from 1 species
CAAUAGCGUAUAUUUAAGUUGUUGCAGUUAAAAAGCUCGUAGUUGGAUUUCGGAUGGGACUUGCCGGUCCGUCGUUUCGAUGUGCACUGGCCAGUCCUAUCUUGUUGUCGGGGACUAGCUCCUGGGCUUCACUGUCCGGGACUAGGAGCUGACGAGGUUACUUUGAGUAAAUUAGAGUGUUCAAAGCAAGCCUAUGCUCUGAAUACAUUAGCAUGGAAUAACACGAUAGGACUCUGGCUUAUCUUGUUGGUCUGUGAGACCAGAGUAAUGAUUAAGAGGGACAGUCGGGGGCAUUCGUAUUUCAUUGUCAGAGGUGAAAUUCUUGGAUUUAUGAAAGACGAACUUCUGCGAAAGCAUUUGUCAAGGAUGUUUUCAUUAA